UCAGAGUGAAUUAGAGACAGAGGGGAGAGAGAGAGAGUGAAUCAGCUUACAGUGUUUCAAAGUUUGAAUCACAGCACUGAUUUUGACCUUCUGAGGUGGCUUUGGACCAGAACAUGUGAAAGAUCACUUGUCCAUACCCUCCAACAUGCCCCAGAGCAAAACCGGGACGUGUGACUUUCGGGGCCGUGAUGUCAAGGCAGCCAGAAAAGAGCUGAAUGGAAAAACUCAUUGUGAACAAGCAACUGUAGAGGGAAAGGCGGCCUGGCGAUUAAGCACACAAUGCAAGUGCAUUAGGUCCACUGCCAAGAGAAGCUUUGAGGUCUCACCAACAAGAACAGCCUGUCCUGGGAAUAGCUCCGUUUUCCUUCACUUUCUCCUAAUCCCUGACCCAUGAA